UACGAAUUCCAAUCAGGUGAACAAGGUGCC
rnacentral:piRNA from 1 species